AGUUUAUUGAAAGUCAUGAGAAUUUAUUUGCCACAAGAAAAUUGACAUAAUAGAAAAUGUCUUUAUUCUAUGUGUAGCCGGAGGCGUUCUCCCUCCUUGCCACUGCACGGCACUGCGCCAGCAGCGCCGUACCUUAAUUGUGGGGCGGUGCCAGACGCGCCUUUAUAAUCAGGUGAGUGGUCACACCUGACCCUCUCCUUCCAGUCCUUUGAGCCAGCGUGGCGGUGACUGCAGCUCGGCGUGGCGGAGCCCUUUGUUUGCGGUGGGCAUCGCAAACAUUCAACCCUCAGUGACUACAGACGGUGUAGGGGGAACAGAUCACCCCGCCGGAGGUUUGGUGGGAAGUAACGUGGUCUGCCUGUGUGGGCUGCAGGUAACUGCGGUUCUCCUCCUCCUGUUCUCUGUGACGCUGCGCCAGUGGUAUGUAUGUAUGUGCAUCAUUCUCUUUAAUUGAGUAUUUUUUUUGCAUUUAUUAAUUAGAGUGUUUUCUUUUGAUUAAUUUAAAGGUUGCAGUAAGUGGUGGCCUGUCAUCAGCCACCACACUCAUUGACUGUUGCUGUUUUGGCUUGGUGGUUUGGUUUUGCUGUCCCGUCUUUUUUUGCCUUGCUGUUCUGGUUUGGCUGUUGUGCUACAGUGGACCCUGGAUAUCGUCUCUGUCCGGUGCCGCAUUGGCCAAGUCGGGUUCGGCCCGAGUGUUUCGCCCCCGGACCUUGGCUCGUCUCCCCUCCCCUUCUCCGGACGGUCCGGCUCCUGCUCGUCUUUCCGGACCUGAUCCUCUACCUGGGGCGGGCAUAGAUACUUUUUUUGUGUUUUUCAUAGUUUCUUUAUUGUUUGGAUUUAUUUUUUUUUACAAUUUCCUUUGUUCAUGUUUAUUGGCAACACUAUUUUAAGGAAAUUGUAUUUUUCAUGGCUUUUAAUAUUUUGAGUUAAUUAGAUGUUGGAUGGAUGUGUGUGAGUGUGUGUGAGUUUUAAUCGUUCACUGUCGGCCACCAGUGACCUAGGCACUCAGGCUGUUUUAUUAAUGGUUGUUUCUUCUUUUUCUUUGUGGUACAGGUGCUGGGUACCUGAGCGGCAGUCCAACCUGGUGGUGGUGUUUUCACGGUUUCCUUGUGUUCUUUUUCUUUUUGUGUGUCGUGUCACAGGUGUGGUGGUGGACCCCUCCCCUUAUUUUUGGUUUCCUGCCGCGGUGGUAAGUCUCAGCCCUGUCCUCCCUUAUUUUGUUUUUGUCAGCCUGAGUGCUGGCUGAAGGCCUGGUGUGUGCGACAUUUUAGUUUUUUUUUGUUAACUGUUUAAUAAUUUUUGUUCAAUAAAUUCUGUCUUUA